GGGGGAACCCUGACCGAGCAACGCCGCGUGAGUGAAGAAGGUUUUCGGAUCGUAAAGCUCUGUUGUUAAGGAAGAACGAGUGUGAGAAUGGAAAGUUCAUACUGUGACGGUACUUAACCAGAAAGGGACGGCUAACUACGUGCCAGCAGCCGCGGUAAUGCGUAGGUCCCGAGCGUUGUCCGGAUUUAUUGGGCGUAAAGCGAGCGCAGGCGGUUAGAAAAGUCUGAAGUGAAAGGCAGUGGCUCAACCAUUGUAGGCUUUGGAAACUGUUUAACUUGAGUGCAGAAGGGGAGAGUGGAAUUCCAUGUGUAGCGGUGAAAUGCGUAGAUAUAUGGAGGAACACCGGUGGCGAAAGCGGCUCUCUGGUCUGUAACUGACGCUGAGGCUCGAAAGCGUGGGGAGCGAACAGGAUUAGAUACCCUGGUAGUCCACGCCGUAAACGAUGAGUGCUAGGUGUUAGGUCCUUUCCGGGACUUAGUGCCGCAGCUAACGCAUCAAGCACUCCGCCUGGGGAGUACGACCGCAAGGUUGAAACUCAAAGGAAUUGACGGGGGCCCGCACAAGCGGUGGAGCAUGUGGUUUAAUUCGAAGCAACGCGAAGAACCUUACCAGGUCUUGACAUCCCGAUGCUAUUUCUAGAGAUAGGAUGUUUCUUCGGAACAACGGUGACAGGUGGUGCAUGG
rnacentral:rRNA from 1 species